GAAAAACAAUCGAAAAACCGUCAGUUUUGAAGAAUCGCAAUUCAGUCCAGUCUAGACACUCACAAUGUAAGAUCAUCGCGAGCCACAGUGGCAAUGAGAAUCCCAUUUCCUCAAGGAGAUCCAAGGAGACUGCUGAUAGUAGAUGUCAAACUGUUGGAAAGAAUGGUACAGCCUACAGGGGCAGCAGCAUCAUGUCAAAGAUGACUCCCUAAAAGCAAG
rnacentral:misc_RNA from 1 species